AUUGAACGCUGGCGGCAGGCCUAACACAUGCAAGUCGAACGGAGUGGCGGACGGGUGAGUAAUGCCUAGGACUCUGCCUGGUAGUGGGGGAUAACGUCCGGAAACGGGCGCUAAUACCGCAUACUAUCAGAUGAGCCUAGGUCGGAUUAGCUAGUUGGUGGGGUAAAGGCCUACCAAGGCGACGAUCCGUAACUGGUCUGAGCGGAUGCACAGACACACUGGAACUGACACACGGUCCAGACUCCUACGGGGGGCAGGAGUGGGGAAUAUUGGAAAAGGGGCGAAAGCGUGAUACAGCCAUGCCGCGUGUGUGAAGAAGGUCUUCGGUGUGUAAAGCACUUUAAGAUGGGAAACGUUACCAACAGAAUGCGCACCGGCUAACUGCGUGCCAGGCGCCGCGGAUAC
rnacentral:rRNA from 1 species